GCGAGUGAAGCGGGAAAAGCUCAAAUUUAAAAUCUGGCGGCCUCUGGCUGUCCGAGUUGUAAACUAGAGAAGUGUUAUCCGUGCUGGACCAUGUAAAAGUCUCCUGGAACGGAGCGUCAUAGAGGGUGAGAAUCCCGUCUUUGACAUGGACUACCAGUGCAUUGUGAUAUGCUCUCAAAGAGUCGAGUUGUUUGGGAAUGCAGCUCAAAAUGGGUGGUAAAUUCCAUCUAAAGCUAAAUAUUGGCGAGAGACCGAUAGCGAACAAGUACCGUGAGGGAAAGAUGAAAAGAACUUUGGAAAGAGAGUUAAACAGUACGUGAAAUUGUUGAAAGGGAAACGCUUGAAGUCAGUCACAUUGGCUGGAGAUCAACCUUGCUUUUGGAAGGUGUACUCUCUGGUUGAUGGGUCAGCAUCAAUUUUGACCAUUGGAAAAAGGUUAGGGGAAUGUGGCAUCCUUGGAUGUGUUAUAGCCCUUGAUUGUAUACAGUGGUUGGGAUUGAGGAACUCAGCACGCCGCAAGGCCGGGUUUUACCACGUUCGUGCUUAGGAUGCUGGCAUAAUGGCUUUAAUCGACCCGUCUUGAAACACGGACCAAGGAGUCUAACAUGCCUGCGAGUGUUUGGGUGGAAAACCCAUGCGCGUAAUGAAAGUGAUAGUUGAGAUCUCUGUCAUGGAGAGCACCGACGCCCGGACCAGACCUUUUGUGACGGAUCCGCGGUAGAGCAUGUAUGUUGGGACCCGAAAGAUGGUGAACUAUGCCUGAAUA
rnacentral:rRNA from 1 species